GAGCAACAGAGAAGAGAAACAGAAGACAGGAGUAAACGGCAACAGACAGUGGUAUGAGGGGACGAGGGGACUGGGGAGCAAAGCCGCCUGCGGUUUAGGGCAUACCUCGGGGCGCACUGUGUGACGGAUUCCACCAGGAAAUUCCAGUUCCCGCUACCACAACCGUCCCCUCUCAGGCCUUGGGUUUUUAUUCUUUUUAUCUAAAUAAAUGUCUGUAAAGUUUUAAA